UACGGAGGGUGCGAGCGUUGUCCGGAAUCACUGGGCGUAAAGGGCGCGUAGGCGGCCUGAUAAGUAGGGGGUGAAAUCCUGAGGCUUAACCUCAGGGCUGCCUUCUAAACUGUCAGGCUCGAGCACAGUAGAGGCAGGUGGAAUUCCCGGUGUAGCGGUGGAAUGCGUAGAGAUCGGGAAGAACAUCAGUGGCGAAGGCGGCCUGCUGGGCUGUUGCUGACGCUGAGGCGCGACAGCGUGGGGGGCAAACAGG
rnacentral:rRNA from 1 species